rnacentral:rRNA from 1 species
CCUACGGGAGGCAGCAGUGAGGAAUAUUGGUCAAUGGGCGUAAGCCUGAACCAGCCAAGUCGCGUGAGGGCUGAAGGUUCUAUGGAUCGUAAACCUCUUUUAUCAGGGAAUAAAGUGUGGGACGUGUCCUAUUUUGUAUGUACCUUAUGCAUAAGGAUCGGCUAACUCCGUGCCAGCAGCCGCGGUAAUACGGAGGAUCCGAGCGUUAUCCGGAUUUAUUGGGUUUAACGGGUUCGUAGGCGGCCUUUUAAGUCAGCGGUGAAAGUCUGUGGCUCAACCAUAGAAUUGCCGUUGAAACUGGGGGGUGUGAGAAUGUGUGAGGCAGGCGGAAUGCGUGGUGUAGCGGUGAAAUGCUUAGAUAUCACGCAGAACCCCGAUUGCGAAGGCAGCCUGCCAAGCCAUGACUGACGCUGAUGCACGAAAGCGUGGGGAUCAAACAGGAUUAGAUACCCCAGUAGUC